UCCCUGGUGGCUCAGAUGGUAAAGAAUCUGCCUGCAAUGCAGGAGACCCGGGUUCACUCCCUGGAUUGGGAA
rnacentral:tRNA from 1 species